UGCGCAGGCGGACUUUUAAGUCAGUGGUGAAAUCCCGAGGCUCAACCUCGGAACUGCCAUUGAUACUGGAAGUCUUGAAUUUGGUUGAAGUGGGCGGAAUGUAGCAUGUAGCGGUGAAAUGCUUAGAUAUGCUACAGAACACCGAUCGCGAAGGCAGCUCACUAAGCCAAUAUUGACGCUCAGGCACGAAAGCGCGGGGAGCAAACAGGAUUAGAUACCCUGGUAGUCC
rnacentral:rRNA from 1 species